GUUCUGUGGAUCGAUCAAAGAAAGGAACCAAGGGGAAAACCCUAAGUUCUACAAAUCAGCAAGAUUGAAAGGGAAAUCAAGAUCAAAUAACCUGCAUGAACUCGAUUCUCUAGUAAUCUAAGCUUGUCCUACAAAGAGGCGUUAAGGAAGAAAGUUCGAGUCAAGUGAAGCAACAAGGGGAUCAAGACCGAGGUAAAUCUCAUGUCUAGCUAUCAAGCUUUGCCCGGAUCGAACACAUCUCAAGCCCGUCAAGCGCUCCGCAUUUUGUAUAAAAUCAAUGUCAAAUUACCUAGUUACUUAUGUCUAUGUUUUGUACUUAAAACUAGUUUGGUCAUGGU